CCAAAUAACAGGUAAUGGUAAUAAUUCAGAGUAUUUGACUAAUAAUCAUGGGUGACUAGGAGUCUGGAACAGAAAGUAUCUAGAAAUGAUGUAUCAGUUCAAGAAGGAAUGAUAUACUACAGAAAUAAACAAACAAACAAACAAAAAACACUAAGUUAAUCCUUACAAAAGUAUUAACUGUUUCUCACUCACUCAAAUAUCCAAUGGAUGCUUGGUUGGUUCAGCUCUGCAAAAUCAAGAAUGAUCCAGAAAAAUGAAGCCUGCGGUGUUUUUUGUGUCAAUCCCCUCUCUAUAGAGAUGAGGUCCCUUUGGUCAUGGCAACAGAGCACAUCUUGUCUUCUCAUUAUGUAAUAUGACCAUAUUAACAGCCCUACAUUACUGCCAUCUGCCGAACCUAUCAUAAACUUUCC
rnacentral:lncRNA from 1 species